GCUAAACGCGAAGAACCUUACCCACCUUUGACAUGUACGGAAUUUGCCAGAGAUGGCUUAGUGCUCGAAAGAGAACCGUAACACAGGUGCUGCAUGGCUGUCGUCAGCUCGUGUCGUGAGAUGUUGGGUUAAGUCCCGCAACGAGCGCAACCCUUGCCAUUAGUUGCUACGAAAGGGCACUCUAGUGGGACUGCCGGUGACAAACCGGAGGAAGGUGGGGAUGACGUCAAGUCCUCAUGGCCCUUAUAGGUGGGGCUACACACGUCAUACAAUGGCUGGUACAAAGGGUUGCCAACCCGCGAGGGGGAGCCAAUCCCAUAAAGCCAGUCGUAGUCCGGAUCGCAGUCUGCAACUCGACUGCGUGAAGUCGGAAUCGCUAGUAAUCGUGGAUCAGCAUGUCACGGUGAAUACGUUCCCGGGUC
rnacentral:rRNA from 1 species